UCUUGAAACAACAGAAGCUCAUUGGUUUUAUUUAUAUGCACAACACUAUUUGGAGUUUACAAAUGUCCUUUCAAAAUUUCUGUUCCUUCUGUUGCUGAAUCUGUUCAUUGUAAUUAAUUAUUCUUGUCCAAAUUCCAUUUUUGACUCUAAUGAUUGCAUUUUGGAUCCUUUAGAAGAGGGAAAACUUAUGGAUGUUCUAUGGAAAUUGUUUGCAUGUGCUUUGAUAUCAUAUACUGCUUUCUAGAUUUUCAAAUGAGGCCUUUUAAUUUUCCUGAUGGGCUGAUACUGUGUUUUCCUGGCUUGCUUGGUGUUUUUGUGGCUUAAGCUUUUGGUGUGUUGUCACAUUUCAUUUUUUUAGGAAAAAUAAUUUUAGAUGCUCAAAACAAAUUAAUCUAUGUUGCAGCCAUCAGGUAAGUAGCCUGGUAGUUGAAUGUAAGGUUCAAUUCCUGGCAUCCCCUUUCUGAUGUACUAGAAAGAAUACAAAAAACAAAAGAGAAAAAUCAAUGGCAGGACCAAUUGUUUUUACUUUAUAAAGCACGGUGACAUUUCUUAACAUUCAUGGCUUAUCCAAAGCGAUAGUCUUGUGCUGAAAUUUAAUUUUUUCUGGAUGUUAAACUGUGCUUCAAUUCUACAGUCAAGCCACGAUCGAUAGUUGGAGCAACUUUCUUGAAAUUCCUAGCAGAGAAUGAAUUAGCAUUUGAUCUUCUAUACUGCAUCACAUUCAAGCUAAUGGACCAUCAGUGGCUUACCAUGCACGCAUCAUAUAUGGACUUCAAUAUGGUUAUGAAAUCCACACGUCGUCA
rnacentral:misc_RNA from 1 species